UAGGGAAUAUUGGUUAAUCUGCGAAAGCGGGAACCAGCAACGCCGCGUGCACGAUGAAGGCCUUCGGGUUGUAAAGUGCUUUUUGAGAGGAUGAGGAAGGACGGUACUCUUAGAAUAAGCUUCGGCUGACUACGUGCCAGCAGCCGCGGUAAAACGUAGGAAGCGAGCGUUAUCCGGAUUUACUGGGCGUAAAGCGUGUGUAGGCGGUUUGAUAAGUUGGAUGUGAAAGCUCCUGGCUUAACUGGGAGAGGUCGUUCAAAACUAUCAGACUCGAGAGUGGUAGAGGGAGGUGGAAUUCCGGGUGUAGUGGUGAAAUGCGUAGAUAUCCGGAGGAACACCAGUGGCGAAAGCGGCCUCCUGGCCCAUUUCUGACGCUCAGACACGAAAGCUAAGGUAGCAAACGG
rnacentral:rRNA from 1 species